UUGCCUCAGUAACGGCGAGUGAAGCGGCAACAGCUCAAAUUUGAAAUCUGGCCCUCUCAGGGUCCGAGUUGUAAUUUGGAGAAGAUGCUUCGGGUGUGGCCCCGGUCUAAGUUCCUUGGAACAGGACGUCACAGAGGGUGAGAAUCCCGUACGUGACCGGUGGCCUCCCCCGUGUGAAGCUCUUUCGACGAGUCGAGUUGUUUGGGAAUGCAGCUCAAAAUGGGUGGUAAAUUUCAUCUAAAGCUAAAUAUUGGCCAGAGACCGAUAGCGCACAAGUAGAGUGAUCGAAAGAUGAAAAGCACUUUGGAAAGAGAGUUAAACAGUACGUGAAAUUGUUGAAAGGGAAGCGCUUGCAACCAGACUUGCGCGCGGCCGAUCAUCUGGUGUUCUCACCGGUGCACUCGGCCGCGCUCAGGCCAGCAUCGGUUUGGGUGGCUGGAUAAAGGCCUCGGGAAUGUGGCUCUCUUCGGGGAGUGUUAUAGCCCGAGGUGCAAUGCAGCCUACCCGGACCGAGGACCGCGCUUCGGCUAGGAUGCUGGCGUAAUGGUUGUAAGCGACCCGUCUUGAAACACGGACCAAGGAGUCUAACAUCUAUGCGAGUGUUUGGGUGUCAAACCCAUACGCGUAAUGAAAGUGAACGGAGGUGAGAACCCUUAAGGGUGCAUCAUCGACCGAUCCUGAUGUCUUCGGAUGGAUUUGAGUAAGAGCAUAGCUGUUGGGACCCGAAAGAUGGUGAACUAUGCCUGAAUAGGGUGAAGCCAGAGGAAACUCUGGUGGAGGCUCGCAGCGGUUCUGACGUGCAAAUCGAUCGUCAAAUUUGGGCAUAGGGGCGAAAGACU
rnacentral:rRNA from 1 species